GAUGAACGCUGGCGGCGUGCCUAAUACAUGCAAGUCGAGCGAACAGAUGAGGAGCUUGCUCCUCUGACGUUAGCGGCAGACGGGUGAGUAACACGUGUAUAACCUACCUAUAAGACUGGGAUAACUUCGGGAAACCGGAGCUAAUACCGGAUAAUAUAUUGAACCGCAUGGUUCAAUAGUGAAAGACGGUGUUGCUGUAACUUCUCGAUGGAUCGCCGCCGCAUUAGCUAGUUGGUAAGUUAAUGGUUUAUCAAGGGAAGGAUGCGUAGCCGAGCUGAGGGGGGGAUAGGCCACACUGGAAGUGAGACACGCACCAGAGUACUGCGGGAGGCAGCAGUAGGGUAUCUUCCGCAAUGGGCGAGAGCAUGACGGAGCAGCGCCACGCGAGUGAUGACAGUCUCCGGAGCGUAAAACUCUGUUAUUAGGGAAAAACCACUGUGUAAGUAACUAUGCACGUCUUGACGGUAAUUAAUCAGAAAGCCACGGCUAACUACGUG
rnacentral:rRNA from 1 species